GACGAACGCUGGCGGCGUGCUUAACACAUGCAAGUCGAACGGAAAGGCCCUGCUUUUGUGGGGUGCUCGAGUGGCGAACGGGUGAGUAACACGUGAGUAACCUGCCCUUGACUUUGGGAUAACUUCAGGAAACUGGGGCUAAUACCGGAUAGGAGCUCCUGCUGCAUGGUGGGGGUUGGAAAGUUUCGGCGGUUGGGGAUGGACUCGCGGCUUAUCAGCUUGUUGGUGGGGUAGUGGCUUACCAAGGCUUUGACGGGUAGCCGGCCUGAGAGGGUGACCGGCGACAUUGGGACUGAGAUACGGCCCAGAAUCCUACGGGAGGAAACAGUGGGGAAUAUUGCACAAUGGGCGGAAGCAUGAUGCAGCAACGCCGCGUGCGGGAUGACGGCCUUCGGGUUGUAAACCGCUUUCGCCUGUGACGAAGCGUGAGUGACGGUAAUGGGUAAAGAAGCACCGGCUAACUACGUG
rnacentral:rRNA from 1 species